rnacentral:rRNA from 1 species
AGAGUUUGAUCCUGGCUCAGGACGAACGCUGGCGGCGUGCCUAACACAUGCAAGUCGAGCGGAGACGAUUGGUAGCUUGCUACUGAUUGUUUUAGCGGCGGACGGGUGAGUAACGCGUGAGCAACCUUUCCCAGACAGGGGAAUAACACACCGAAAGGUGUACUAAUACCGCAUAAGACCACGGGAUCACAUGGUUCUGAGGUAAAAGAUUUAUCGGUUUGGGGUGGGCUCGCGUCCGAUUAGGUAGUUGGUGAGGUAACGGCCCACCAAGCCGACGAUCGGUAGCCGACCUGAGAGGGUGAUCGGCCACAUUGGGACUGAGACACGGCCCAAACUCCUACGGGAGGCAGCAGUGGGGAAUAUUGGGCAAUGGGGGAAACCCUGACCCAGCAACGCCGCGUGGAGGAAGAAGGUUUUCGGAUCGUAAACUCCUGUCCUUGGAGACGAGUAGAAGACGGUAUCCAAGGAGGAAGCCCCGGCUAACUACGUGCCAGCAGCCGCGGUAAUACGUAGGGGGCAAGCGUUAUCCGGAUUUACUGGGUGUAAAGGGAGCGUAGACGGCAUCACAAGUCAGAAGUGAAAAUCCGGGGCUCAACCCCGGAACUGCUUUUGAAACUGUGGAGCUGGAGUGCAGGAGAGGUAAGCGGAAUUCCUAGUGUAGCGGUGAAAUGCGUAGAUAUUAGGAGGAACACCAGUGGCGAAGGCGGCUUUCUGGACGACAACUGACGCUGAGGCGCGAAAGUGUGGGGAGCAAACAGGAUUAGAUACCCUGGUAGUCCACACUGUAAACGAUGAAUGCUAGGUGUAGGGGGUAUCGACCCCUUCUGUGCCGCAGUCAACACAAUAAGCAUUCCGCCUGGGGAGUACGGCCGCAAGGUUGAAACUCAAAGGAAUUGACGGGGGCCCGCACAAGCAGCGGAGCAUGUGGUUUAAUUCGACGCAACGCGAAGAACCUUACCAGGUCUUGACAUCCACUUAAACUUACAGAGAUGUAAGGUGUGCUUGCACAAAGUGAGACAGGUGGUGCAUGGUUGUCGUCAGCUCGUGUCGUGAGAUGUUGGGUUAA